GAUGAACGCUGGCGGCGUGCCUAAUACAUGCGAGUCGAGCGAACAGACGAGGAGCUUGCUCCUCUGACGUUAGCGGCGGACGGGUGAGUAACACGUGGAUAACCUACCUAUAAGACUGGGAUAACUUCGGGAAACCGGAGCUAAUACCGGAUAAUAUAUUGAACCGCAUGGUUCAAUAGUGAAAGACGGUUUUGCUGUCACUUAUAGAUGGAUCCGCGCCGCAUUAACUAGUUGGUAAGGUAACGGCUUACCAAGGCAACGAUGCGUAGCCGACCUGAGAGGGUGAUCGGCCACACUGGAACUGAGACACGGUCCAGACUCCUACGGGAGGCAGCAGUAGGGAAUCUUCCGCAAUGGGCGAAAGCUUGACGGAGCAACGCCGCGUGAGUGAUGAAGGUCUUCGGAUCGUAAAACUCUGUUAUUAGGGAAGAACAAAUGUGUAAGUAACUAUGCACGUCUUGACGGUACCUAAUCAGAAAGCCACGGCUAACUACGUG
rnacentral:rRNA from 1 species